rnacentral:rRNA from 1 species
GAGGACCGAACCGACUAAUGUUGAAAAAUUAGCGGAUGACCUGUGGCUGGGGGUGAAAGGCCAAUCAAACCGGGAGAUAGCUGGUUCUCCCCGAAAGCUAUUUAGGUAGCGCCUCGUGAAUUCAUCUCCGGGGGUAGAGCACUGUUUCGGCUAGGGGGCCAUCCCGGCUUACCAACCCGAUGCAAACUGCGAAUACCGGAGAAUGUUAUCACGGGAGACACACGGCGGGUGCUAACGUCCGUCGUGAAGAGGGAAACAACCCAGACCGCCAGCUAAGGUCCCAAAGUCAUGGUUAAGUGGGAAACGAUGUGGGAAGGCCCAGACAGCCAGGAUGUUGGCUUAGAAGCAGCCAUCAUUUAAAGAAAGCGUAAUAGCUCACUGGUCGAGUCGGCCUGCGCGGAAGAUGUAACGGGGCUAAACCAUGCACCGAAGCUGCGGCAGCGACACUGUGUGUUGUUGGGUAGGGGAGCGUUCUGUAAGCCUGUGAAGGUGUGUCGUGAGGCAUGCUGGAGGUAUCAGAAGUGCGAAUGCUGACAUAAGUAACGAUAAAGCGGGUGAAAAGCCCGCUCGCCGGAAGACCAAGGGUUCCUGUCCAACGUUAAUCGGGGCAGGGUGAGUCGACCCCUAAGGCGAGGCCGAAAGGCGUAGUCGAUGGGAAACGGGUUAAUAUUCCCGUACUUGGUGUUACUGCGAAGGGGGGACGGAGAAGGCUAUGUUGGCCGGG